AGUCUCGUGGAUUAGAUACCCCGGUAGUCCACGCCGUAAACGAUGAGCACUAGCUGUCGGGGGUAUCGACCCCCUCGGUAGCGAAGCUAACGCGAUAAGUGCUCCGCCUGGGGACUACGGCCGCAAGGCUAAAACUCAAAGGAAUUGACGGGGGCCCGCACAAGCAGCGGAGCGUGCGGUUUAAUUCGAAGCUACGCGAAGAACCUUACCAGGGCUUGACAUGUUGAGGACAGCCGG
rnacentral:rRNA from 1 species